AACGAACGCUGGCGGCAUGCCUAACACAUGCAAGUCGAACGAGACCUUCGGGUCUAGUGGCGCACGGGUGCGUAACGCGUGGGAACCUGCCCUUAGGUUCGGAAUAACUCCCCGAAAGGGGUGCUAAUACCGGAUAAUGUCUUCGGACCAAAGAUUUAUCGCCUUUGGAUGGGCCCGCGUUGGAUUAGCUAGUUGGUAGGGUAAAAGCCUACCAAGGCGACGAUCCAUAGCUGGUCUGAGAGGAUGAUCAGCCACACUGGGACUGAGACACGGCCCAGACUCUUACGGGAAGCAGCAGUGGGGAAUAUAGGACAAUGGGCGAAAGCCUGAUCCAGCAAUGCCGCGUGAGUGAUGAAGGCCUUAGGGUUGUAAAGCUCUUUUACCCGGGAUGAUAAUGACAGUACCGGGAGAAUAAGCUCCGGCUAACUCCGUG
rnacentral:rRNA from 1 species